UUGACCUCAAAUCAAGUAGGAUUACCCGCUGAACUUAAGCAU
rnacentral:rRNA from 1 species